CCUACGGGAGGCAGCAGUGGGGAAUAUUGGGCAAUGGGCGCAAGCCUGACCCAGCAACGCCGCGUGAAGGAAGAAGGCUUUCGGGUUGUAAACUUCUUUUCUCAGGGACGAAGCAAGUGACGGUACCUGCGUAAUAAGCCACGGCUAACUACGUGCCAGCAGCCGCGGUAAUACGUAGGUGGCAAGCGUUAUCCGGAUUUACUGGGUGUAAAGGGCGUGUAGGCGGGACUGCAAGUCAGAUGUGAAAACCAUGGGCUCAACCUAUGGCCUGCAUUUGAAACUGGAGUUCUUGAGUACGGGAGAGGUAGACGGAAUUCCAAGUGUAGCGGUGAAAUGCGUAGAUAUUAGGAGGAACACCAGAGGCGAAGGCGGUCUGCUGGACAGCAACUGACGCUGAGGCGCGAAAGCGUGGGGAGCAAACAGGAUUAGAUACCCGUGUAGUC
rnacentral:rRNA from 1 species